UGGGGAAUAUUGGACAAUGGGCGAAAGCCUGAUCCAGCCAUGCCGCGUGAGUGACGAAGGCCUUAGGGUUGUAAAACUCUUUCGUCGGGGACGAUAAUGACGGUACCCGAAGAAGAAGCUCCGGCUAACUUCGUGCCAGCAGCCGCGGUAAUACGAAGGGAGCUAGCGUUGUUCGGAAUCACUGGGCGUAAAGCGCACGUAGGCGGAUUUGUUAGUCAGGGGUGAAAUCCCGGGGCUCAACCUCGGAACUGCCUUUGAUACUGGCUGUCUCGAGGUCGAGAGAGGUUGGUGGAAUUCCUAGUGUAGAGGUGAAAUUCGUAGAUAUUAGGAAGAACACCAGUGGCGAAGGCGGCCAACUGGCUCGAUACUGACGCUGAGGUGCGAAAGCGUGGGGAGCAAACAGGAUUAGAUACCCUCGUAGUCCCUGAGCGGGCUGGCAAGGCGCAU
rnacentral:rRNA from 1 species